GAUGAACGCUAGCGGCGUGCCUAAUACAUGCAAGUCGAGCGAACAGACGAGGAGCUUGCUCCUCUGACGUUAGCGGCGGACGGGUGAGUAACACGUGGAUAACCUACCUAUAAGACUGGGAUAACUUCGGGAAACCGGAGCUAAUACCGGAUAAUAUAUUGAACCGCAUGGUUCAAUAGUGAAAGACGGGUUUGCUGUCACUUAUAGAUGGAUCCGCGCCGCAUUAGCUAGUUGGUAAGGUAACGGCUUACCAAGGCGGCGAUGCGUAGCCGACCGGAGAGGGUGGUCGGCCACACUGGAACUGAGACAGGGUCCAGACUCAUACGGGAGGCAGCAGUAGGGAAUCUUGCGCAAUGGGCGAAAGCCUGACGGAGCAACGCCGCGUGAGUGAUGAAGGUCUUCGGAUCGUAAAACUCUGUUAUUAGGGAAGAACAAAUGUGUAAGUAACUAUGCACGUCUUGACGGUACCUAAUCAGAAAGCAACGGCUAACUACGUG
rnacentral:rRNA from 1 species